rnacentral:rRNA from 5 species
UGCGACCUCAGGUCAGGCGGGGCUAA